rnacentral:rRNA from 1 species
UACGGAGGGAGCUAGCGUUGUUCGGAAUUACUGGGCGUAAAGCGCGUGUAGGCGGCUCUUCAAGUCAGGCGUGAAAGCCCCGGGCUCAACUCGGGAACUGCGCUUGAUACUGUCGAGCUAGAGUGUGGAAGGGGCGAUUGGAAUUCCGCGUGUAGCGGUGAAAUGCGUAGAUAUACGGAGGAACACCAGAGGCGAAGGCGGAUCGCUGGGCCAACACUGACGCUGAGACGCGAAAGCUAGGGUAGCAAACGGG